GUAAAGUAGGAUUAAAUCCUUUAUCCCACCAUUUGGUAAAAAAUAUCCUUUUAAGACGGGGAAUUUUAUUCUGAUAGAUCUGAUGAUUGGGGAAUGUGAAGAGAGGGAUAGAGAGAUUGAAUACUGCAUUUUUAGAGAGAGAAAAUGGAAGGGAGUUAUGGUUUUAGAGAGACAAAUUGGAGAGACGGGGAAGGUUUAAGGCUGUUCAGG
rnacentral:lncRNA from 1 species